UUAAAUUCUAUAAACUAAAAACAUUAAGUUUUAGCAGUCAUUUGUCCUUAUCAAACACAAAUCAUUAUUUACAAAUUACAACUUAAUGCCUCACUACAACUACACUAAAUUUUUCCCCGACGUGGGGGAUAUAGGGGAUCCCCUCUAUAAAAAUGAAAUCGAUUCAACGCCCAUCGUGGGAAUUUGGAGGAGUCUAGCUUGUCCCUUUCUUUAAGGUCCCGACAAUCCUUGUUCCUGCAUACAAGGCAGCAAAUCAUAAGUUCAAAAAGAACUUAGUGAGAUUUUAAAUGACAGUGCAUUGUAACUACUCUAUAUUUUUAGGGAGAAACAAUAAAGGCACAUAAUUUCAACUUCUUGUGUGUAGAUGGAAACUCCAGAAAUAUUUUGACAUGGUCGAAGCCUUAUCUUUUCCAACUUUCACUGUUAGCUGACUUUUCCACUGAUUUAUUUUCAAGCGUACUUUUCCAAAUAGCAAUUCCUUUUCAAACUUGAUUCCUGUCCUGCAUUAUUACAAAUAUUCAUUUUACCUUUCCUGUUUUUGCCUCCUUAAGAUAACCAUAUAUGUGUCUAUAUAUUUUGGUCACUAACUCUUCUACUGGCAGACUUGAAAUCGUCUUCGCCAUCUUGGUUGAUCCCUAGCCUGAUCCGUCCAUUCCACAUUAUUCUAAACAUGUGAUUACCAUGUUACCCUAGUGAAUGUCUUUCUUUAACUUAGCCCCUUGCAUAGAUCAUUCCUUAAGGAAGACCCCAGCUUAACAUCAUCAUUUGCAAUCUUGUAUAUGAUAUGUGGCUGAUAACUAAACGCCUUCUAUCUUACGGACUAGUAUUUAUUAAUCAAUCACGUAGUACCUUGCCUAUUUUAGACCAUUUACCAAGAAAUUCUCAUUACAUAUAGUUCUCAGUGGACUACCUCUUUCCUAGACUGCCCGUAUGGGCUUCCACAUCUAAUAGCCCCAGAUUAACUUUAUCAUGCUAGAUAGUCUUGACAUAAAUUUUUCAUCCAAGUUAGUCUUUGGCGAACUCCCCUCCUAAGAGGGUCAUUGGUGGACUUCCUCGUCUAAUGGUCCCCAUGGACUUUCUCACACUAUAUAAUCCUAACGAACAUUCCCAUCUUUAUUCUCUACAAUUUUUUACCCAAGAUAGUCUUUAGCUGACUUCCUUCUUAAGAGAGUCUUCAGAGGACUCCCCUCUCAUUUUGACAACCCUAUUUUGCUCAUGUAUACAUAGGACUAAUGUUUGCAUAGUUGUUCCUCUUUGUUAUAGCCAAAGCUAGUUUACUCAUCAAACGUUCGUGAACUCAUAUGAGGGAUAUCUAUUUACCAUCACUUUGAAGGAAUUGCCCAUUUCCUCUCACAUAAACCUGCAUUAAGAUGCUUCCACCAAUUCCACUUACCUUUCUAUUUUGGUGGAUCCUCUCAUAACCAAGCUUAUAAGCGUUCACAGGCGCGCCAUGCUCAUUCUAUCAAAUUGCUCACUGCGUGAGUCAUAGUGAACUUCCAUUUUUGUUCCUCGAAAGUUUUCCUGGUUCACCAUCCUGGCGGACUCUAUCUCUCCAUAAAGUGUACCUAUUUUGUAAUUGGAUAGCACCAUGAGUUAACCACGAACUUUUUAUUCUGAAGAAUCAAAAAACCCCUUUCGAAGUGUUGCCCCAAAGGACUUGUAUAUUAUUUUAAUGGGUCACCCUGAAGGACCAGUCAAUAACCGUCGUCACAGUAUCGCUCUAGCGAGCUGGUAGAAAACCAUUUCCACAUUACCACCAAACUCCCUUGAAUCCUGUAAUAAUCUGACCAUUCCUCCUAUAUGCUAACUUUUCCUAUCUUUAUCUACCCCGUCAAGGUCAUUCUCUCCAUACUUCGCAUACAAUAAAUAUGCAUAUCACUCAAAAAAUUAUCCUUAAUAUUAUAUCAUAUAGUACGCCAUUGAUUACUUCUUAAUUUCACAAUCAUUUGACACCUACUGUACAUACUUACACAGUGUUUGUGUUAUCCAUAUUCAGCUUUUUCAUUCACUAUUUCCAUACUCAACAACAGAUUCAGAAAACUCAGAGUAGACACAAACACAAGUCAUAUAGACAGCACAAUACCAUAAAUCACCUAAAAGCAGAGUACAAAACCUCACCUACUAUCCUCCCUCCUUGUCAGCUUAGCUUUUCCAAACACUAGAUUCUCCUUUAUCGUGGUAGCUAAGCAUGAAAAUCAUAAUACAAAUUAAACCAAAAAUUAUUCAUACUUUAGAAACCAGUAUCCAGUAACAUGCAAAAAUCUUUCAGAGUUUUUACAGAAAUCCUUAACUCCCUCAUCUUUUCCUCAAAUCCAUGAAAGUAGACUAGUUAAGAAUCUUACUGAUUUACGCAAUCCUCUGCUGGUAGGCAUCAAACUCCAAUUCUAGCUCGCCAUCCAUAGCUUUCCUUUUU
rnacentral:lncRNA from 1 species